rnacentral:rRNA from 1 species
GAUGAACGCUAGCGGCAGGCCUAACACAUGCAAGUCGAGGGAGAGGUUAUCUUCGGGUAACCAAAACCGGCGCACGGGUGCGUAACGCGUAUACAAUCUGCCUUUCACAUAGGGAUAGCCCGAAGAAAUUUGGAUUAAUACCUAAUGGUAUAUAGGAGCGGCAUCGUUUUUAUAUUAAAGCUACGGUGGUGAAAGAUGAGUAUGCGUUCUAUUAGCUAGUUGGAGAGGUAACGGCUCCCCAAGGCGACGAUAGAUAGGGGUUCUGAGAGGGAUGUCCCCCACACUGGUACUGAGAUACGGACCAGACUCCUACGGGAGGCAGCAGUGAGGAAUAUUGGACAAUGGUCGGAAGACUGAUCCAGCCAUGCCGCGUGCAGGAUGAAGGUCCUAUGGAUUGUAAACUGCUUUUGUAAGGGAAGAAUAAGGAGUACGUGUACUUUGAUGACGGUACCUUACGAAUAAGCAUCGGCUAACUCCGUGCCAGCAGCCGCGGUAAUACGGAGGAUGCGAGCGUUAUCCGGAAUCAUUGGGUUUAAAGGGUCCGUAGGCGGGCUGAUAAGUCAGAGGUGAAAGCGCUUAGCUCAACUAAGCAACUGCCUUUGAAAUUGUCAGUCUUGAAUGAUUGUGAAUAUUUUGGAAUGUGUCUGUAGCGGUGAGAUGCUUUGGAUAUUUCUCACGCACCGUUGGCCGAGUGAUGUUUACUAACCAAUUAUUUACCCGCUGGACGAAAGUUGGGGGAGCGGCCCGGAUAGAUCCUCGGGCGCUCU